ACGGAAGGCAGCAGUGGGGAAUAUUGGGCAAUGGGCGCAAGCCUGACCCAGCAAUGCCGCGUGAAGGAAGAAGGCUUUCGGGUUGUAAACUUCUUUUAAGUGGGACGAUAAUGACGGUACCACUUGAUUAAGCUCCGGCUAACUACGUGCCAGCAGCCGCGGUAAUACGUAGGGAGCAAGCGUUAUCCGGAUUUACUGGGGGUAAAGGGCGUGUAGGCGGGACAUCAAGUCAGAUGUGAAAGCACGAGGCUCAACUUCGUGUCUGCAUUUGAAACUGACGUUCUUGAGUGUUGGAGAGGCUAACGGAACUCCUAGUGUAGCGGUGAAAUGCGUAGAUAUUAGGAAGAACACCAGUGGCGAAGGCGGUUAGCUGGACAAUAACUGACGCUGAGGCGCGAAAGCGUGGGUAGCGAACAGGAUUAGAUACCCUGGUA
rnacentral:rRNA from 1 species